GGAAGUGAGAAACAAUUAUGCCAAAGUUGGUUUCGUUCGGGUAUAAAAACUACGACUUGGUCAACAAAAAACUAAUUGCCGUAUGCAAAUCACGCAGUUCGAAUAUUACAGACGGAGACGCAACAACUUCCAACUUCGUUCGACAUUUGAAGUUGCACAAAGAAGGAAAUGGCAACAGCGGAGGAUGAAUGUCCCAUAACAAGAAGAUAGAGAAAAAGAAGAAGCUUAUCGACUACGGUGUCGGAAUGGACUACAAAGGCGGACGCGCGCAAAUUUUCAGGACUGAUGCAGAUCCCAAAAACAGAUCAGCAGGUACCAGAAGGUCAAACAACGGCACCUAAUUUAAGAAAACAGGUUAAUCUUCUUCAGUCACAAGAUCAGCACUUCUCAGGACCAGCAGCUUCCUAGGAAGGUGGAAAGACCAUGAGACCAAAAUGGUGAGUUUGCAAAAUGUAGAAUUUGUGUGCCAGUUCCUCUGUGCAGAUUUGAGGAUGAAAGCAGCCACUCCAGAUUCCCUUGCACUCGCUAAGAGGGGCACGGUCAAAGCCGAUCCAGGACCAACACCCGAUACCUGACUGGAAGGAACCGAGAGGAGAGACAACACCUUGCCAGCGAUGACGAGAACGAUUAAGGUUGCCAGCCAAUAUGUGUCCGUCGGGACUCCAGCAGGUGUGGAAGGAGGCCCUGAAGCAAGCUGAGGGCCUGGACCAAAGCCCCACGCCCCAUACUCUGCCCCCGCCUUCCCCGAAGCCCCCACAGCUCCAACUUUUUCUCAGCUUUUCCCCAAUUUCGGCCAGCACGCACCGGCCACUGAACAGUCUGCCCAAUGGACUGAACCACACCCCAAGAAGAGACAGAGACAGACUGUUUGAGUGGAUCUCUUUCUUCACCAAGGCAGCCAAAAGCCCAACGAGGUGUCGGCAGGCCACCAGCCUGAGGCACCACCGAGCCAUCUAUACGAGCCCUAAUCGGACAUGGACUCAUACGAAAUUCAGUUGUGUGUUCAAAAUCAAUUGAUAAUUAACAAUAUUGGUAACUACAUUCAUUGCAAAUGCCGGGAAAAAUAUUUUUGCAAAUGUCUUACAGUCAUAAGUCUAUAUACAUUCAUCUAUUUAUGUUCAAUGAUGUUCAUGAUCAAAGUAUUUGUUAUUCCUUUACUAAAUCAAAGGGUAGGCCACUAAUUGUGUUCUGUGAGAUGGUUUUACUGCAGGCUGGUAACAGCGAUCGCUCUGAAGGAGGGUCAUAGACGGAAUUUUUGCCUCGUAUAAAAACAUUGAGAUUUUUGCCUCUAUCUGUGGUAGAGAUUAGUGGUCUACAUCAGAAAUUGUUUU